rnacentral:ncRNA from 18 species
AGGGGAAGCCGGUCGGAAUCCGGCGCUGACCCGCAACCGUAGGCCCGGCACCACCGGGCGAGCCGGAAUGCCU